rnacentral:rRNA from 1 species
GACGAACCGUGCGAACGUUAUUCGGAAUCACUGGGCUUAAAGCGCGUGUAGGCGGGACGGCACGUCGGUCGCUGAAAUCCCCCGGCUUAACCGGGGAACUGGCGUCGAUACGACCGCCCUGGAGGGCGUAGGGGGACCUGGAACUUCCGGUGGAGCGGUGAAAUGCGUUGAGAUCGGAAGGAACGCCCGUGGCGAAAGCGAGGUCCUGGACGCCUACUGACGCUGAGACGCGAAAGCCAGGGGAGCGAACGGG